rnacentral:rRNA from 1 species
UAUCUCUGUAGAGUCUGCAUAUCAAUAAGCGGAGGAAAAGAAACUAACUAGGAUUCCCUCAGUAACGGCGAGUGAAGCGGGAAGAGCUCAAAUUUGAAAUCUUCAAGGUUCUACCUUGACGAAUUGUAGUUUAAAGAAGUGUUUUCUGUUGGAGUUUUGGUAAAAGUUCUUUGGAAUAGGACAUCAUAGAGGGUGAGAAUCCCGUAUUUGACCAUGACUUUCCAGCUGUGUGAUACACUUUCAAAGAGUCGGAUUGUUUGGGAAUGCAGUCCAAAAUGGGUGGUAAAUUUCAUCUAAAGCUAAAUAUUGGCGAGAGACCGAUAGCGAACAAGUACCGUGAGGGAAAGAUGAAAAGAACUUUGAAAAGAGAGUUAAACAGUACGUGAAAUUGUCAAAAGGGAAGCGUUUGACACCAGUGUUGUUUUCUCGAAAAUCAAUUAAAAAUGGCAGGAUUUUGUGUUGUAUUGACUUUAUCAGCUUUCUGCACUCUUUUCAUGUCUUUUUUAAUGCACUUUUCGUUUAACAAGUCAACAUCAAUUUCCUUUUGUUGUAAAAAGGGUCAUUGGAAGGUGGCUUUCUUUUCGGAGAAAGUGUUUAUAGCCUUUGACUCCUGCAAUCGGAGAGACUGAGGUCUGCAGCGUAUGAUCCUUCUGGGAUUAGAUUACAUUUGUGCUAAGUUACUAAGCCGUUUAUAGACAACUUGUUGACUAUGAUUCAGAUCCUGUAGCUUACUCGCUUAUGUAUUUUACCUACGCUUAGGAUGUUGAGUCAUCACACAUCUCU